CCCAACCCUAAAUUAACUCCUCCUCAUUCAGUCAUUCCUUCAUUGAAAUGCUGCCACGGUGAGAGAAAUCUUGAAGCUCUGCCACUGCGAUCUCCUCUGUCACGGUCUCUCCUCCGGUGACAAUCCUCUCCAGCGACGACCUCCUCCGGCGAAGUCUCCUCCAGCGGCGACCUCCUCUUGCAACAUCUUCUCCAAUGGCAAUCUCCUCCUGCGAUGAUCUCCUCCUACCAGCGACGGUCUCUUCCGGCAACGUCUCCUCCAGCGGCGACCUCCUUCUGCGACGUCUUCUCCAGUGACGGUCUCCUUCGGCGACGUCUCUUCUAGCGACAUCUCCUCCAGCGGUGAUCUCCUCCUGUGGCGUUCUUCUACACUGGCAAUCUCGUCUAUCCAGCUAUUGAGCUGCGAGUUUCUCCUCCGGCAGACUCACGAAACUUUAAUAACUAUUUCAGGCUUUAAUCUGUGUUCCGCAUAUCAGAACACUCGGAGAUGCUCUUAUAAACCGGCUGCGAUAUCCUCAACAAGCUGAUGGAGAAAUGAGCCCCAACUACAUCUGAGAAGUCACUGGUGCUAGUGGUAGUAAUGCAGGAAAAUUUGUUGUUCUUCACCUUCGUUUUGUUAAGAUAAAAGAAAUUGAAUGGUGGGAAUAUAUAUAUGAUGAGGCGCAACAGUGUUUUCUCAACCAAGGAGGCGCAUCAACAGUGGAAACAUAUAUAUAUAUAUAUACGAAGUACUUGAGAAAAUCGAAAAAGGUGCUUUUGGUUCUGCACUUCUUGUCAAGGACCAGCAUGAGAAGAAAAACAUCAUGGAAAUAUUGUAGUGGAUGAUGUUAAUGACGGAAGGAUGAUCUUCUAGGAUUUUGCAAAUAAGGGUUGGCUCAACUGGGGACGGAAAAGAAUAAGAAGAAUGGGAAUAUAUUUAAAAGAUGGAAGUGGACCUAGACCUUGGAAACUAUGAGCGCUUUAUGGAUAUCAAGUUGACUCGUGAUAAUAACAUAACCACUGGGAAGAUUUACUAG